rnacentral:rRNA from 1 species
AUGGAGAGGUGGCUAAGCUUGUCUUUCCUAGCCCUACUUACGCUCCUGGUGAUAUGGCUUCUCAAGCUCUCGGUUGGCAAGAGCAAGCCGGCCAGGAAGCAGCUGCCUCCUGGGCCAUGGACUCUCCCGAUCAUCGGCAGCCUCCACCACGUCGCCGGCGCCCUCCCACACCGCACGCUGUUGCAGCUGUCUCGCCGGCAUGGGCAGCUGAUGCACCUCAUGCUGGGCGAGGUCCCCGCGGUCGUCGUGUCCAGCCCUGAAGCGGCAGCGCUCGUGAUGAAGACAAACGACCUCGCAUUCGCGGGCCGGCCGCGUGGCGUGACGCUUGACAUCUUCAGCAGCGGCGGCAGGGGCAUCGCCUUUGCCCCCUACGGCGACCAUCUGCGCCAGAUGCGCAAGGUCUGCGUCAUGGAGCUCCUCAGCUCCACGCAGGUGAAACGCAUGGAGGGCAUCAGGGCCGAGGAGGUUGGCAGCCUCCUCCGCGGCAUCACGGCCGCUGCCUCGGCCGGCCACACGAUCAACGUCAGCGAGAAGGUGAUGGCGCUCAGCAACGACGUGGUGACCAGGGCGGUUUUCGGAGGCAAGUUCCCACAGCAGGGCGAGUACCUCUGCGAGUUGGACAAGGCGUUUAAGCUGCUAGGCGGCUUCUGUCUCGUUGAUCUCUUCCCGUCGUCGUGGUUGGUAAGGUGGCUGAGCAAUGGCGAGCGCCAGAUGAAGAAGAGCUGUGGCCGUAUGCAGCGCAUCAUUUCAGAGAUCAUCGAUGAGCGGAAAUCCGCUCGAGCUGCUGGCGUUGGUGCCUCCGGCACUGACGACGAGGAUCUGCUCGACGUGCUGCUCAGGCUGCAGAAAGAGGACUCUUUGGAAUUCCCUCUAACCACAGAGACUAUUUGCGCCGUCCUGUUUGAUAUGUUUGCAGGUGCCACGGAGACCACAUCAACUACUUUGGCGUGGGCUAUGUCGGAGCUUGGGCGGAGUCCUGAAAUCAUGGCUAAGGCACAACAAGAAGUAUGGGAGAUUCUUGGUGAAGGCCGAUCUGUUAUUACUAAUAACAACCUCAUUAAACUCCAGUACAUGCAGAUGGUCAUCAAGGAAACCCUUAGGUUGCAUCCACCAAUUUCUCUAAUCCCACGCUCAGCCAGAGAGGAUUGCACAGUUAUGGGGUAUGACAUCCCUAAAGGCACCAAUAUAUGCAUUAAUGCCGUUGCAAUUUCUCAAGAUCCGAAAAACUUGGACGAUCCUAGAGAGUUUAGGCCAGAGAGGUUUGAGAACAUCAACUUAAAUUACAAUGGAACAUACUUUGAAUUCAUUCCCUUUGGAGCUGGGCGACGGCAGUGCCCCGGGAUCCAGUUUGGCUCAUCGGUCAUGGAGAUGGCAUUAACAAACUUUCUAUAUCACUUCAACUGGAGACUUCCUGAUGGUUCUAGCCUUGUUUCGUUUGACAUGUCUGAGAAGUUUGGGUUGGCUGUAAGUAGAAGGUAUGACCUGCAACUCAGAGCUAUUCCACAUGUGUGGUCCAAGACGUCGAAGUGA